UACGUAGGGACCGAGCGUUGUCCGGAAUCAUUGGGCGUAAAGAGCUCGUAGGCGGUCUGUCGCGUCGGCUGUGAAAACUCGGGGCUCAACUCCGAGCUUGCAGUCGAUACGGGCAGGCUAGAGUUCGGCAGGGGAGACUGGAAUUCCUGGUGUAGCGGUGAAAUGCGCAGAUAUCAGGAGGAACACCGGUGGCGAAGGCGGGUCUCUGGGCCGAUACUGACGCUGAGGAGCGAAAGCGUGGGGAGCGAACAGG
rnacentral:rRNA from 1 species